ACGUUUGCGUCGCUCUGCCAGGAGCAGUCGCCUCCUCCUUGGCAAAUAGUCCUCGGCAGGGUCCGAGUUCUUGGAUAAUUCGAGAGAAAAGGCACGAUAAGUUGCAGUACGAGGACACGGAAACGACCAGGAGAGGAGGACAGGGAGCGAAGUUUCCGCAAUAGGGUCCAGUCCCAGGCUGUGGGUGUUGAGAAGAGAAGACAGAGAAGCUGGGCCAGGAGGGGCCGGGAGCCCCAGGGGCUGCUCCGACUUCUGGAGGGCCGACCCCGAGGCCUCGGACCGGGAGGUUCCGCGCGCAGCGGCGUUCCGUGUUGUGGCGUUGCCCCGCCGCUCCUGGCCCUGCGGACGUCAGCGUCUAAUAAUUCUCCCGGUCUUCCUGAUUGCUUGAAAGAGUCGGGACGGUUCGGUUGAUUGUGUUUCCCGGUUAGGACUUGGUGUAGGAGAUCCAUCGAACCACUCGCUCAGAGUAAUGUUUAUGAAGCAGAUUAUGUUUAUGAAGCAGAUUAAAUGGCUUUUGGGAGGCAAGAGCUGUCAAAUGUUUUCUCAUAUGCGGAUUCCCUCCCAGUGCUGAAUA
rnacentral:sRNA from 1 species